GACCAGUUUAUGUUGGAGCGGCCAACCGCGAUAAUUGGGUCUGGGUCGUUGCUGUUGCCAACAGGCCAAACCGGUCCCGGUUGCUGCAAAAUUCCCCAUCAUCAGGUACCGGAUGACCGAUGCGAUUUUGUUCCUUCAGCUCAUUAGCCGGGAACAUAGAUAAAGUCGAGUAGCCGUGAAGACGCGAUGCAUUUCGUGCACCUACUGCUUUAGCUGCGAUUUAUGGUUGUGAUUGGCGGUUUUCGCUGCUCAAAAUGAUUGAAAGUGGCGGAAAACCCGUGCUCAAGUAGAUCAGUCUGGCACUCCUGUCUUACUUUGCCAUCACCGCACCGGGCAUGAUCAAUAGCUGAUCGAUUUGGGUUUGGGCGCCGGAAUGCCAUCCGGGUGGUCAACGUCUGCGCCCUAAUUGGCUGACUGAUCAUUGGCGCCGCCUUUUAUUCGCCUGCGCAGCAAUACGCGCUCCUAUUGGUCGGCCGAUUUGUCACUGGAUUGUCCGGAGGUAGGGCGACAAUCUCCAGUGCGGUCCGGUGUUUUUGACAUUUUGGCCCACUGGGCGCGAUGGCGGUUUGACGGCUGGUUCCCGUUAACAUGGGCAGUGGUUUGCAACCCCAAAAACACUGGACCGGAGGAAAAACU
rnacentral:lncRNA from 1 species